rnacentral:rRNA from 1 species
AACGAACGCUGGCGGCAGGCUUAAUACAUGCAAGUCGAGCGGGCACUUCGGUGUCAGCGGCGCACGGGUGCGUAACGCGUGGGAACAUGCCCUUAGGUACGGAACAACACAGGGAAACUUGUGCUAAUACCGUAUAAUAUCUCCGGAUCCAAGAUUUAUCGCCUAAGGGUUGGCCGGCGUUAGAUUAGGUAGUUGGUGGGGUAAUGGCCUACCAAGCCGACGAUCUAUAGCUGGUCUGAGAGGAUGAUCAGCCACACUGGAACUGAGACACGGUCCAGACUCCUACGGGAGGCAGCAGUAAGGAAUAUUGGACAAUGGGCGAAAGCCUGAUCCAGCCAUGCCGCGUGAGUGAUGAAGGCCUUAGGGUUGUAAAGCUCUUUUAGAUGGGAAGAUAAUGACUGUACCAUCAGAAUAAGCCCCGGCUAAAUUCGUGCCAGCCGCCGCCGUAA